UCACUUUUUAGACUUAGACUGAUAUGCUUCUUUCACACACACACCUCCCCUCACUGUAGUCAUGUGGUGACGUCUGCACCUGCACCCGGAGACAAUGAUGGUCAGCCAUUUGAAUCCCAGGAGACAAGGGAAACGACUUAUCACAAGAAGAAGAAAAGGAACAGAGGUAAUUAAAGGGACAACAAGACGGGGACAAUCAUGGAUGGACUGGAUAAUGUUACAUUAUCAAUUUUAAAUGCUGCCAGCAUUGAUGAGGCCUUGCUCUACACCUUCAGUCGUGAUGUUCUGAGAGACCCUUUUCCUGGGCCAGAGCACUUUCUCAGGAAGAGUGUGGGCUGUUAUUAGCCCAGAGGAUCAGAACCUCACCGUACCAGACAAAGCUGGCCCUGGUGACACAGGACCUGUGUCUUCACCUGGAGGAAUGUCCCCAAUCUUGCCCCAGGCAUCCACUCCUUUGGUGAGGAAAAGCCCAAAGAAAACCCUACAGCUUCCCAGUCCUCCAGAAUAUGUCGUUUACACAGACAGUGAGUUAGAGCAAGUUCGUAAACACUGCUUUGAGUUGGUCUCCACUGGCAGAGAGGGGGAAUGUAUCAUGUCCAAAGAACUGAGAUGCAGGUUAGUGUGGAACACUGUCACCAGCAUGAUUUCCAUAUUGAGAGCAAGUCAGCAAGGAGAGGAGGUCUGAUACCCUACCAGGCAUGAAGUCACUGCAAUGGCUAGGAGACUAGUGGAGUACUAUCCCAUGCUACAGGAUGAAGACAAAACUCAUAUGACCAUUUUCAAGAAUCUUCUCAAGAGGCUGCAGAAUGUGAAGUCCCCACAAAAGAGGCAGGGGCCAACACCUGAGAGGGGCCAUUCAAAGAAAAGGCAUCGAAUUGACUUCUCAACAAGUGACAAGGAGGGAGAAGAAUACGAUACAGACUCAAGAGCUGGAUCAACAAUUAUUUUGCAUCAAAGAUCUGGGAGCAGUUCUGAUGACGGCCUCA